rnacentral:rRNA from 1 species
UACAGAGGGUGCGAGCGUUAAUCGGAAUUACUGGGCGUAAAGGGUGCGUAGGUGGUUUGAUAAGUUAAGUGUGAAAGCCCCGGGCUUAACCUGGGAAUUGCGCUUAAUACUGCUGAGCUAGAGCACUGUAGAGGAAAGUGGAAUUUCCGGUGUAGCGGUGAAAUGCGUAGAUAUCGGAAGGAACAUCAGUGGCGAAGGCGACUUCCUGGACCAAUACUGACGCUCAGGUGCGAAAGCGUGGGGAGCAAACAGG